CGGAGCAUCGAUGCGCCCGCCCUGAAUGGGAUCAAGCCCGGCCAGCGCGCGCAGAAGCGUUGUCUUUCCGCAUCCGCUUUCCCCGAGAAGUGCGACGAACUCGCCGCGUUCGAUACGCAGGUUAAGUCCGCUGAUAACCGUUCUCUCUCCGUAGGAGCGCCGCAAGCCGGACACUGUGACCGCUGGUGACGGUGAGAGAGGAGGGACAUGAGCGUUCAUCGUGCGCUUCCGCCGAAGUUCGGGUGCCAGGCCAACAUUCUGCGUUCCAGCAGCCGCGCGACGGAAUCGGCC
rnacentral:misc_RNA from 1 species